CAUACCUAUUGUUGCUUCGGCGGGAUUGCCCCGGGCGCCUCGUGUGCCCCGGAUCAGGCGCCCGCCUAGGAAACUUAACUCUUGUUUUAUUUUGGAAUCUUCUGAGUAGUUUUUACAAAUAAAUAAAAACUUUCAACAACGGAUCUCUUGGUUCUGGCAUCGAUGAAGAACGCAGCGAAAUGCGAUAAGUAAUGUGAAUUGCAGAAUUCAGUGAAUCAUCGAAUCUUUGAACGCACAUUGCGCCCGCCAGUAUUCUGGCGGGCAUGCCUGUCUGAGCGUCAUUUCAACCCUCAUGCCCCUAGGGCGUGGUGUUGGGGAUCGGCCAAAGCCCGCGAGGGACGGCCGGCCCCUAAAUCUAGUGGCGGACCCGUCGUGGCCUCCUCUGCGAAGUAGUGAUAUUCCGCAUCGGAGAGCGACGAGCCCCUGCCGUUAAACCCCCAACUUUCCAAGGUUGACCUCAGAUCAGGUAGGAAUACCCGCUGAACUUAAGCAUAUCAA
rnacentral:rRNA from 1 species